rnacentral:rRNA from 1 species
CUGAACCAGCCAAGUAGCGUGAAGGAUGACUGCCCUAUGGGUUGUAAACUUCUUUUAUAUGGGAAUAAAGUUGGCCACGUGUGGAUUUUUGUAUGUACCAUAUGAAUAAGGAUCGGCUAACUCCGUGCCAGCAGCCGCGGUAAUACGGAGGAUCCGAGCGUUAUCCGGAUUUAUUGG